rnacentral:rRNA from 1 species
UAGGGAAUCUUCGGCAAUGGGGGGAACCCUGACCGAGCAACGCCGCGUGAGUGAAGAAGGUUUUCGGAUCGUAAAGCUCUGUUGUUAAGGAAGAACGAGUGUGAGAAUGGAAAGUUCAUACUGUGACGGUACUUAACCAGAAAGGGACGGCUAACUACGUGCCAGCAGCCGCGGUAAUACGUAGGUGGCAAGCGUUGUCCGGAUUUAUUGGGCGUAAAGCGAGCGCAGGCGGUCAAUUAAGUCUGAUGUGAAAGCCCCCGGCUCAACCGGGGAGGGUCAUUGGAAACUGGUUGACUUGAGUGGAGAAGAGGAGAGUGGAAUUCCAUGUGUAGCGGUGAAAUGCGUAGAUAUAUGGAGGAACACCAGUGGCGAAGGCGACUCUCUGGUCUGUAACUGACGCUGAGGCUCGAAAGCGUGGGUAGCAAACAGG